ensembl:lncRNA
GGAGGCGCCGGGAAAUUGGUGGAAAACACCUUCGGCUUCCCAGUGUGGAUCAAGCGUGAGGAGUGAGAGAAACUAGGAACUUCUCUGAAUACCUAAUGAUCCUGCAUGAAUUUAAUCAUCUCCAGGACUUUAGAGGUCUUUUGGGAGGACUAAAACUCAAUGUAUCAAGUAAGUAAUGGUUAAUGAGAGAGUUGUUUUUCAAUCAUAAAAUAUAUAUAAUAGGAAGAAAAAAUGUAAAUAUCUUCUAAACAAAAACACAGGAGGAAAUAUAACUCCUACUUACCUAAAUCUACGCAUUUAAAAAAUAUCUAUCUACUGUUACCUGUUUAUCACUCUCAUCAUUCAAAAAAGACUUGAAGUAGAAAAGAAGUGAGUGCUUGGAUUCCAAACCUCCAACAAUUUGAACACCCUCCUCAAAGACUCUCAAAAUAUUUAAGACACACUGUGUUCAUGGAAUCAUCUUAUGAAUAAUCUGCCCAUUAUUAUUUGCUUCUGGGUUGAGAUAUUUUCAUAGAAAGUAUAAAGGUUAUCACAUAAGCCAUAUAGUUUCACAUUUAAAUAGCAAGCUGAGCUGAAUUACAUUUCUCAUUUUGCUAUUAAAUGCAUUUUAGAUUAUAAGCCUGGAAACAGGUUUGUAUAAAGAAAGAGUACAUAUGAUGAGUAACUUAUCUAUGAUUUGGAGUUUCAAAUUAAUUUUCUUUUAACUACUUUUAAUUCAUUUACUCACUCAUAACAUAUUAAUUGGACUUUUUUAUUUAAUAAGUGUAAAAUAAGGAGAUAUUUGCCAUGUCUUUUCAUGAUCACAUCUGCACCGAGGAUCUUCCUUGCUUGGGAGAUAACCAGGCAAACUCAGGAUAUACAUUAAACUGUGAGCAUGGCUCCAGUGUAAGUGUGUGUAUAUGUGCCUAUGUAAAAUGUAAUAGGAUUAUAGGAAGAGAAAGAUCUAAAUUUACCUGGGUUGAGAUGGGAUUAGAAAAUUAAAGCCCCACAGAACAAAAAACAUUUAAGAAUUUAACUUAAUUUUUGGUUUAGGCAUGAAAAGUUUAUGUCUGAAGUGGCUUUGGUGACCAGUCUACUUUUUAGGAGUCUAUAUAUUUGCAGAGUUAGUGGGACAGAUGCUGGAUUCUGAUUGGAGGGAAUAGUUCAAUGUAGUAAUUAUUUAGUAUAGGCUGAGUUGAAGGUUGUUGCUAGCUGAGCCACUUGAAGUUUACAAGAACUUCAUAAAAUAUGUGGGGCUUCUUACUGGGGACCUUGUAUUUCUUAAUGCAUUAAUAUUAAAAAUUAUAUUUUUGGAGUUCCCAUUGUAGCUCAACAGGUUAAGAACCAGAUUAGUUUCUGUGAGGAUGUGGGUCAAUCCCUGGCCUUUGCUCAGUGGGUUAAGGAUCCAGCAUUGCUGCAAACCAUGGCAUAGGUUGCCAGAUGUGGAUCAGAUCCAGUGUUGACGUGGCUGUGGUGUAUGCCUCAGUUGUAGCUCUGAUUUGACCCCUAGCCUGGAAUCUUCCAUGUGCUACAGGUGGGGCCCUAACAAAAAAUUAUAUUUUAUGUUAAUUACAAAUGGAUAUUCUUGAAGUGCUAAUUUGUCAAAAUAUACUGCUGAAAUAAAAAGAAGUAUUUUUUAUUAGACAUUUAUUUUAGUCUAUUUUUAGAAAGAAGACAUAGUUUGCCAGCUCUUGUUAGGUAGAAAAAAGUCCUUAAAUCAAAUAUAGUAAUUUAUCUUUUAAUAAUUUAUCUUUUAAUGUUCUCUCUUUGUAAAGUAGAACAUUCAGAAGAGAAGAAACUUUGAACUUUAUUGUCAAACAUGUAUCUGUUACCUUCAUGUGUUUCUCAUAAUCCUUUUAACUAUCUCAGACAAUUCUCAAAGCUGUUUAUAUUUAAACAGGGUUUUGCUUCCUCAUAGCUUGAGUUCUCCCAUCUAUCUGAUCCUACAGUGAAAUGGCAAUUUUGUGACAUCAAAAUCUGGUCCGGGGCAAAUAUUUGUUAUUAUGGUCAACUAUGACUUUAUGAUCUCAUUGUAAUAAAUGAGGAAAAAUUGCAGAAAAGAAUAUUUGUAUAAAUUGUACUAAGUAAAUGUUAUUCUUGUAACAAUAGAAAAUAAUAGCUAACAUAUCUCCUUCUUUAUUAUAGUUCUCAGUUUCUACAUUCAUAUAAGUAUAAAGCAUCCUCUUUUUGAAAGUUAGCACCAUCACUUUUUUUGAAGACUAUUCUCAAAUACCUGCAAAUAUAUGCAACUUAUAUGAAAAUCACCACAUAAUGUUCCCAUUUGAUCAGAUUAAAUAUUAAAGUUCUGGGGGGGACAGAGGGAGGCCAGAAAGGAGGUGAGUUGGUCACAUCUCCCAGAACUUUGAACCACAUUUUUGGCAUCUAAAACAAAGGCAAAUAUAUUGUUCAUAGCUGCAGGACUUUGGUAUGAAUGUGUUUUAUGCACAAGGGUCAUAUAUUUGUAUUUUUCUCUAUUGUAAUUGAUUAAGUUUGAAUCCCAUAGAAGUAUAAUAUUUGUAUUUACAAAUAGAAACCAUAUUUAUUCUGAAUGCAUUUUUAACUAAGUAUACAAUUCACAACUUUAUCACUUGUUUUAUGAGUCCAUUUGGCUUGGCUCAGAAAAAAAAUAAUUAAUCAAGCCUGUAGUUUGCAGGGCCUGGUCUUUAUUUAUGCAGAAACUGCUUAUUUAUUAACAUUAAGCAUCUCCCAUUUGGUCUCAAAGAGAUGUAUAGUUACAUGGAAACAGAACAGCUUUCAGUAGAUGAUUGCACAACUACAGAUGCUUUUUUCCAACACCAUCACAGCUGAGGAGGUCCAACCAAAUGAAAAACAGUUCUGAUGAAGUGAGAAACAGAAAAGCGGUACCAUGCAAACGUUAUUACAUAAUAAAAUGCACGCCAGUACACAUUUUUUUAAAACUCUUUUUAUUAAAUUUAUGUGAAUCAAGAGGAAAGGGCGAAAAGUAUAUUUACUGAUGAUAAAAAAUAUACUCUGGAUAAUUUAAGUCAUCUCAUUUAAAACUUAUUCUUUAUAAGUUUCUAGUUCUUCCCCACUUCCUUUUAGCUCUCUGUCAUCUACUCCAAAGUAAAACUUUUUGGAUUUAAUAAAGACAUCGAAUUUGCAGGUGGUUUGUUCCUGAACAUACAGUCUAAUAUCAAGCGAUGUUACAAAAUACUUAAAUGAAAAUUAGUGGGCUGUCCUCACUAAUCCUGGCCUUUAAAUAUUUUCAGAUGAUUCAUUUUAACCUGUUUCAAUAGCCAUGUUAGUGUGUGUGUCUAUCCUGCCCCACUGGGAACCAUGCCAGCCAGAAAAUGCAUGAAAUCAUGGGAUGUCUUAUGAUGCUAUCCCUGAAAGAUUUCCAGCCUAAGUUAUACUCACAGCAUUAUACUACAGGGAGCCCAGCACCCUGAUGAAUUCUUAAAGUACAUGCAGAUGUGUUUUUCUGAAUAUGCAGUGCUAUAAAUAUUGCUUAUCCUUCUGGAAUGUGCUAAUAUAAAGACAGAUACAAAUAUUAGAAUGGGUAAUUGUAAAAUAUACAUAAAUGAAUGAAGCAUAUUCAUUUCUUGCUACCAGAAGCUUUUUUCUCCAUUACUUUGUACAUAUGCAUAAUUGUAUAAGUGUUUGUAUGUGUGUAUAUAUAUAUAUAUGUAAAGUUUUGCAAUAUAUUUAAUUGUUUUAGUUCAAGUGGUUAUUUCUAAGCAUAUUUCCUCAUAUUUAAUUAGUGUGUCUAUACUGGAAUGGAAAAUAAUUUUUAUUCUUUUCAUUUUUAUUAACAUUCAUUAAGCAUUUAUCAUUCUCCAGGAAACUGUGUUGAAUGUUUAACAUAUCUCACUUAAUCAUUAUAACAAGAUAUGAAAUAUGUGUUUUUAUGUCUCAUUUACCAUGAGGAAAUUGUGCAUCUCAGAAAUUGGAGCUUAUGUGAGACAACCAAUUAGUUACUAAGUGGGGAAGCCAAAAUUCAAAUUCAGGCUCUAUUUCAAAGCCACUGCUCUUAACCAGUAUUUCUUUCAAGUCAGCCAACCAAUAAACUAACUCAAUAUAUUAGUACAAAAGGGAUAUAAAAAGGAUUCCAAUUAAGUAUGUUUCAUUAAAGAGAUCAUAAUAAAUGAAUAAAACAUAUUCAUCUUAACUAAAAGCAGUAAGAGGAAAUUUAUUACUCUGUUUCUCCAGUUCUAAAUGUCUUCCUGCUCUCUCACACCAACAUCCAAAAGUAUUUGAUAGAAAAAUAAAUCUAUCAGAUGGUCUGAGCUACUUUGAUGAAAUAUUUACAUUUCUAUAGCAUUUCCUUAAAUAUUAUUGAUUAUUUACAUUUCUAUGACAUUAUCUGCUCAAGUUGAAAUCACCCAAGAAUGCUUUGCAUACUGUUCCUUCAAGAGAUGGCAUCACAGAUUUAAUUUUUGUACAGUGAGUUCUAUUCUUCUGGCUUACAUUUCCCUUUCUUCCUUUUGUACUCUCUUCAGAGGUACAUCCAAAGAUAGAAAAGAUAGGAUUAGAAUGAAAAGGGCCUAUUACCAUAAACUUCAGAGAAAGUGGGAUUAUCAAAGUUUGUUAUUUGUUUGGAUUUACUGGUCAUCUGUAAUGUUGUUUCCAGCAUUACCAUUUCUAGUUCUUUUCCAAAGGGAGUACAAAGAAGAUGAAGCUGGCACUUAUUUUAAUAUAAGUAAAUCCAGAGUAAGCCCUUCACAUAGGCAAGUAAUAUUUUAAGCUUCAAUCUACUGGACUUGUCAAAGAUCACAUCACUCCUUUUUAUUAGAGAACAAAAGUAGGUAUAUAGCCUCCACCCAUGGUACAUAAAUAGUUCAAUUAAACAUGCUUUGAUGCUACAGCCAAUGAGAUUGUUUUUGACAAAGUAAGAUAGAAUCAAUUCCUUUACAAACUGUGGGAAAUUAACUAAAUUGUACUAAACUUGUAAGUCCUUUUCUUCCUUCCUCUACUCCAAGUGAAUCUAUAUAAACUUUUCUCAAUGACAGAAAUAUUGCAGAGAGAGUUCAAUAUAAAAGACAAAGGUUGAAUUUUAUAGCAGAUAUUUUCCAGCCUAAGUGUUAGAGAAGAAUAAAAAUCUUCUUAUAAUGUAAUUUUGCACAUACAUUUUCUGUGUAAUCUAGGAAUAAUAGUAGCUUUAGUCACAAAAAUUCAAUUGAAUGUGACUGAUGUUGAACUCCAAGCAACAGCAGAUCAAAGGAUUAUGAAUUCUUCACAGUCAGUAUAAAAUCAUGAGAAAAUAAUGUAAUCAUUCUGACAUUGUUGAAAAUAAGAGAUAAAGGGCACAUGACUUACAACCAGGAUGAUAAAUGGAGGGCUGAAUCUAGACAAGAAUAAGACAGAGCUUUCCCAUAAUACAUCUGAACAAGAGUCUCAUCAUUUCGUGGUAAUGAAAAAUUAAAAGUUAAUACAAGUUUGUAUCAUCAAAAUUACAAAUGCAUAAUCACUUUGAACUGGGCGAUGAAUUACAGGAAUUGACAUAUAUGCAUCAUCAUCCACUGCAGCAUUCCUGAAACAACAAAGAUUGGAAACAAACCAGACUUCCAUCAAAGGGUUUCUAUAUCCAUACAACAGAAUACUAGUACCUAUAAGAAAGAGUAAGGAGUCUCUGGAUGUACAUCUUAGCCAGCUUGGGCUACUAUAACAGAAUGCCACAGACUGGCUUAAACAGUGGAAAUUUAUUUCUCACAGUUUUGGAAGCUGGGAAGUCCAAGAUCAAGGUACCAGUAGAUUUGAGUUUUGGUGAGGGCCCUUUUCCUGGCUUAUGGUCAGCCAUCUUUUCACUGUAUCCUCACAUGGUGGGGAGAGCGUGACCUCUGGUCUCUUUCUCUUCUUACAAGGACACUUAUAAGGCACCAUUCUCAUAAUCUCAUCCAAAUCUAAUUAACCCCCAAAGGCUCCACCGCCAAAUAGCAUCACAUUGGGAGUUAGAGCUGCAGCAUAUGAAUCGGGGCACAGCAUUAAGUCCCUAGCAGAAGUAGAUAAGGAAAACUUUCCAAGAUUUAUUAAAUGAAAAGAAAAAGCAAUGUGCAAAACCAUUUUAUAGACUGCAAUGUGUUUAAAAGUUCGAGCAAAAUUAGAAUAUGCAUUGAUUUUUUCGUUGUUACAAAUUUGUGACAAAAUUCUGCACCCAUUAAUGAUACAAUUUUCAAUAAACUAGAACUAAAA